rnacentral:rRNA from 1 species
CAGCCGCCGCGGUAAUACGAAGGGUGCAAGCGUUACUCGGAAUUACUGGGCGUAAAGCGUGCGUAGGUGGUGGUUUAAGUCCGUUGUGAAAGCCCUGGGCUCAACCUGGGAAUUGCAGUGGAUACUGGGUCACUAGAGUGUGGUAGAGGAUAGUGGAAUUUCCGGUGUAGCAGUGAAAUGCGUAGAGAUCGGAAGGAACAUCUGUGGCGAAGGCGACUAUCUGGGCCAACGCUGACACUGAGGCACGAAAGCGUGGGGAGCAAACAGGAUUAGAUACCCCAGUAGUCCCUGUCUCUUAUAC